AGUGUAGGCGGUGGAUUAAGUUGGAUGUGAAAGCCCGGGGCUCAACCCCGGAAAUGCAUUCAAAACUGGUUCACUUGAGUGUGGGAGAGGAAAGCGGAAUUCCUAGUGUAGCGGUGGAAUGCGUAGAUAUUAGGAGGAACACCAGAGGCGAAGGCGGCUUUCUGGACCAUAACUGACGCUGAGGCUCGAAAGCGUGGGGAGCAAACAGGAUUAGAUACCCUGGUAGUCCACGCCCUAAACGAUGGAUACUAGAUAUAGGCGGUAUCGACUCCGCCUGUGCCGUAAGCAAACGCGUUAAGUAUCCCGCCUGGGGAGUACGGCCGCAAGGUUGAA
rnacentral:rRNA from 1 species